rnacentral:rRNA from 1 species
GUACAUGCCUAUAGCAUAGCGUUAAUGCAUCAGAUCCCAUUAGAACUCCGCAGUUAAGUCUGUUCGGGCUAGAGUAGUACUUGUAUGGGUGACCGCCGGGGAAGUCCUAGUGUUUUACA